CGUCCAGGGGUAAACCUGCGAAACUCGAAUGAACGAACGGAGAGAUUCAUCGUCAUUCCGCCGGAGCCGCGACUGCGUACCGAUGCGGCGGCGUGCGUGCGUUCGCGCGCGUAUCGUCGUCGCACGGUCGCAGCCCGCGUGCGUCCGCGGACGGCGUGCACUUCUCUCUUAGUAAGACAUCGCGACCCGUUCGGUGUCGGCCUAAGCGUAGCUCGGGAGCCCCUCGGCACAUCGCUGCCGCGGGACCGUGGCGAACGCCGGCCGGCCGCCGGACGGUAUAAUACGCGAAACGUGCACGCGCUUCAGGCGCGUCCGGCCCGACGCAAGGUCGCGUCGUAUCCGGAGUCCUGCCCGAGUGCGGUCUCUGGUGCGGCGCGCCUGAUCGUCGCAGCCGUGCUGUCUCGGACCGUGCGCGUCUCCGUCUGCGAUGAUUAAGUUUCGGGCACUCGCA
rnacentral:rRNA from 1 species